AUGUGUAUUGACUACACCAGCCUGAACAAGGCCUACCCCAAGGAUCCUUUUGCUCUGCCCUGUACCGAUCAAGUCAUCGAUUCCACGGCUGGCUGUGAGCUCCUGUCUUUUCUGGACGCCUACUCAGGCUACCACCAGAUAAAGCUGAGCCCGACCGACCAGCUCAAGACAUCCUUCAUCACCCCGUUCGGGGUGUAUUGCUACAUCACCAUGUCUUUUGGCCUGAAGAAUGCAUGCGCCACUUUCCAGCGCUGCAUGCAGAAGUGCCUUCUCUCGCAGAUCGGCCGCAACAUGCACAUGUACGUCGACGGCAUCGUGGUCAAGACCAAGCAACACCUCACCCUCUUGGACAAUCUCAAUGAGACGUUCGUGAAUCUGCACAAGUUCCAGAUCAAGCUGAACCCGGAGAAGUGCGUGUUCGGCGUGCCAGCCGGCCAACUCCUCGAUUUCCUUGUUGCGGAGCACGGGAUCGAGGCCAAUCCCGAGAAGAUCAAGGCCAUCUAG
rnacentral:rRNA from 1 species